rnacentral:sRNA from 12 species
GGCCUAAACCCGGUUUUGCCGGGCAUGGCUCAAAAACCCAUCGCUGAUACUGAACCCCGUGUUCAGCAACUCAGCGAUGGGCUAUAUCGGGAAACCGGUAUAGGGCCGCAAGGCCU